UUUGCUGCAAAGAACGCAAAAAAAAAAAACAAAAGGGGAGGUUCCCCUUCUCUGCCGGAGUUCCAAGGCCAUGGAACAGUGAACGAAAAAACUUUGGCCCCUCCCUAAACCCCAUCCGGCGACGACGAAAGACCAUCGACGGCGGGCCUAAGGGCUGAUUCGGAAAAAUCGAAGAAGAACGAUGCAAGAAAACGUUCGGCCUUUAUAGCCAAAAUACAAAAAAUCGAAGAAGAACGAUGCAAGAAAACGUUCGGCCUUUAUAGCCAAAAUACAAAAUCUUUCCGUUCUAUUCUUUGUCGUUUCUUUUUGUCUAUCUCUUCUUUUGUUGUUUUCUUUUUAGUCCGCGUGUCUUCUUCUCCUUGCAGGUGCCCGUGGCCGACAGUGGUGGCAGAGGCGUGCGAGUGGGCGUGGCAGACGAGGAGGCCACGCGAGGCAUGCGGCGCUAGGGUUUGGGGGCAACUUUCUGCCGAAAAUGUUAAUGUUGUCUUGGCUGGGUUUUUAAUUUUUGUUACAACAAGCCAUGGGCUACAUUGGGCUUGUUAUUUUCCUUUGUAAUUGGACUGUCGUUUAUCUUGUUUUAAUAUUCGGGCUUGGGCAUAAAAUUGGGCCUUACAGAAUCCAUCAAAGAAUUUCCUAUAAAA